rnacentral:rRNA from 1 species
UACGAAGGGUGCAAACGUUGCUCGGAAUUAUUGGGCGUAAAGCGCACGUAGGCGGCAUUGCAAGUCGGAUGUGAAAUCUUAUGGCUUAACCAUAAAAGUGCAUCCGAAACUGCAGUGCUUGAGUACUUAAGAGGAUCGCGGAAUUCCCGGUGUAGAGGUGAAAUUCGUAGAUAUCGGGAGGAACACCAGUGGCGAAGGCGGCUACCUGGCCCACUCUUGACGCUGAGGCGCGAAAGCUAGGGGAGCAAACGGG